rnacentral:rRNA from 1 species
UACGAAGGGGGCUAGCGUUGCUCGGAAUCACUGGGCGUAAAGGGUGCGUAGGCGGGUCUUUAAGUCAGGGGUGAAAUCCUGGAGCUCAACUCCAGAACUGCCUUUGAUACUGAGGAUCUUGAGUUCGGGAGAGGUGAGUGGAACUGCGAGUGUAGAGGUGAAAUUCGUAGAUAUUCGCAAGAACACCAGUAGCGAAGGCGGCACUCUGGGCCGGAACUGACGCUGAGGAGCGAAAGCGUGGGUAGCAAACAGG